rnacentral:rRNA from 1 species
AUGAAGAGCGCAGCCAGCUGCGUUAACUAAUGUGAAUUGCAGGACACACUGAACAUCGACACCUUGAACGCACAUUGCGGCUCUGGCUCACUGCCAGAGCCUCGCCUGUCCGAGGGUCGGC